AGGUAUCGCUGGCGGUAGUCCUAGCUCAUGCUACGCGAACGGCAGCACAGUAACAGCUUGCUCUUACGGGUGGCGAGUGGCGGACGGGUGAUGAAUACAUCCUAAUCUGCUUUUUCGUCAGUGGUGACGUAUGGAGACUUACACUAAUACCGCAUACGACCUACUGCUAUAAGCACGUGGUCUUCUAACCUUGCGCGAUUGAUUGAGCCGAUGUCGGAUUAGCUCGUUGGCGGGGUACAGGCCCACCCAGGCGACGAUCCGUAGCUGGUCUGAUAGGAUGACCAGCCACCCUCGAACUGAGACACGGUCCAGACUCCUACGGGAGGCAGCAGUCGGGAAUAUUGGACACUCGGGGAAAGCCUGACCGAGCCAUACCGCGUGGGUGAAGAAGGCCUUCGGGUUGUAAAGCCCUUUUGUCGGGCAAGAAAAGACGCAGGUUAAUACACCGCUGUUCUGACGGUAAAUAAAGAAUAAGCACGGGCUACCUUGGUG
rnacentral:rRNA from 1 species